rnacentral:rRNA from 1 species
CCUACGGGUGGCAGCAGUGAGGAAUAUUGGUCAAUGGGCGGGAGCCUGAACCAGCCAAGUCGCGUGAGGGAAGACGGUCCUACGGAUUGUAAACCUCUUUUGCCGGGGAGCAACGGGGUCCUUGCGAGGGCCCGAUGAGAGUACCCGGAGAAACAGCAUCGGCUAACUCCGUGCCAGCAGCCGCGGUAAUACGGAGGAUGCGAGCGUUAUCCGGAUUUAUUGGGUUAAAGGGUGCGGAGGCGGGCUGUUAAGUCAGCGGUCACCUGUCGGGGCUCAACCCCGGCCUGACGUUGAAACUGGCAAACUGGAGUGUGUGAGAGGAUAGUGGAAUUCCAGGGGUAGGAGGGAAAUCCGUAGAUAUCUGGAGGAACAUCAGUGGCGAAGGCGACUAUCUGGCACAUAACUGACGCUGAGGAGCGAAAGCGUGGGUAGCAAACAGGAUUAGAUACCCUUGUAGUC